GACGAACGCUGGCGGCGUGCUUAACACAUGCAAGUCGAGCGAGACUUUCUCUUCGGAGGGAUGCUCUAGCGGCGAACGGGUGAGUAACACGUGGGCAACCUGCCCCUAGCUCUGGGAUAAGCCCGAGAAAUCGGGUCUAAUACUGGAUAUUCACGACAUAGGGCAUCUUGUGUUGUGGAAAGGGUUUCUGGCUGGGGGAUGGGCCCGCGGCCUAUCAGCUUGUUGGUGGGGGAUGGCCUACCAAGGCGACGACGGGUAGCCGGCCUGAGAGGGCGACCGGCCACACUGGGACUGAGACACGGCCCAGACUCCUACGGGAGGCAGCAGUGGGGAAUAUUGCACAAUGGGCGGAAGCCUGAUGCAGCGACGCCGCGUGAGGGAUGACGGCCUCGGGUUGUAAACCUCUUUCAGCAGGGACGAAGCGAAAGUGACGGUA
rnacentral:rRNA from 1 species